ACCGAUAGUGAACCAGUACCGUGAGGGAAAGGCGAAAAGAACCCCGGCGAGGGGAGUGAAAAAGAACCUGAAACCGUGUACGUACAAGCAGUGGGAGCACGCUUAGGCGUGUGACUGCGUACCUUUUGUAUAAUGGGUCAGCGACUUAUAUUCUGUAGCAAGGUUAACCGAAUAGGGGAGCCGAAGGGAAACCGAGUCUUAACUGGGCGUUAAGUUGCAGGGUAUAGACCCGAAACCCGGUGAUCUAGCCAUGGGCAGGUUGAAGGUUGGGUAACACUAACUGGAGGACCGAACCGACUAAUGUUGAAAAAUUAGCGGAUGACUUGUGGCUGGGGGUGAAAGGCCAAUCAAACCGGGAGAUAGCUGGUUCUCCCCGAAAGCUAUUUAGGUAGCGCCUCGUGAAUUCAUCUCCGGGGGUAGAGCACUGUUUCGGCAAGGGGGUCAUCCCGACUUACCAACCCGAUGCAAACUGCGAAUACCGGAGAAUGUUAUCACGGGAGACACACGGCGGGUGCUAACGUCCGUCGUGAAGAGGGAAACAACCCAGACCGCCAGCUAAGGUCCCAAAGUCAUGGUUAAGUGGGAAACGAUGUGGGAAGGCCCAGACAGCCAGGAUGUUGGCUUAGAAGCAGCCAUCAUUUAAAGAAAGCGUAAUAGCUCACUGGUCGAGUCGGCCUGCGCGGAAGAUGUAACGGGGCUAAACCAUGCACCGAAGCUGCGGCAGCGACGCUGAUGCGUUGUUGGGUAGGGGAGCGUUCUGUAAGCCUGCGAAGGUGUG
rnacentral:rRNA from 1 species